rnacentral:rRNA from 1 species
AACGCGAAGAACCUUACCUGGGCUCGAACGGCUGGUCAACGCCGGUGGAAACAUCGGUACCCCGCAAGGGGGUCCAGUCGAGGUGCUGCAUGGCUGUCGUCAGCUCGUGUCGUGAGAUGUUGGGUUAAGUCCCGCAACGAGCGCAACCCUUGUCCUGUGUUGCCAUACCGAAAGGUGGAACUCGCAGGAGACCGCCAGCGAUAAGCUGGAGGAAGGUGGGGAUGACGUCAAGUCCUCAUGGCCUUUAUGUCCAGGGCUACACACGUGCUACAAUGGACGGUACAAAGCGUCGCUAACCUGCGAAGGGGAGCCAAUCGCAAAAAACCGUUCUCAGUUCGGAUUGCAGGCUGCAACCCGCCUGCAUGAAGCUGGAAUCGCUAGUAAUGGCAGAUCAGCACGCUGCCGUGAAUACGUUCCCGGGCCUUGUA